UUGCAUGUUAAAAAAAGGGAAAAUAAAUAUGCCAUGCUCAACAAAAUGGACGAAUUUAACCAGAGCGAACAAAGUUAUCUUUGUUUUGACCAUGGUUGCACUUUUUGUGCUUGUCCUUGGAUUUUCAACGCCACUUUGGAUUUUGAUAUCAGUGGAAACUGACUUUAACAUUGAAAUUUUUGAAAUGGUCGAGAAGGAGUAUAUUGGUCUUUGGCAGUGGUGCUUUAAACAUUAUGGAUGUUAUGAUCUAUCAUUGUUUGCUAAAUAUUUUUCAUAUACCAAGUCUAUCAGCAAAACAAAUAGAAAUGAAAUACUAGAUAAGAUAAUAAACAAGACCAACAGAAUUAUAAAUUUGUGGACAGUUUCAAGAUCCUUUGCAACUGUGGCCGUCGUUUGUGCACUGUCGUUUUCUAUUUGGAAACUGCAUUUCAUCUGGAUAAGGAAGAUUAACCAUGUCCGUAUCUACCAUGUUGUGUCAAUUGUGGAGAAUUUCAUCAUUGGUUCUGCUUUAUUGGUAUGCUUGGUAACGUUUGGCGUUGCAAUACAAACCUUCGAUGAGCUGAAAAUGGAUAUGAUAUUGGAAUUGAACAUUUUAAAAGUACUAGACAUCAACAUCAACAGAUAUUUUUUCAUUUCUUUCUGGAUGGUUUGUGCUGCAACAAUACUGUACUUUUCUAAUGGGAUACUAGCCAUUGGCAUUUUAUGCGGAGGCUGUGUAAUCAACACAAACGAUACAUCUGGAAGACGCUCAGAAGCAACAACCAGAAGUGGAAACGAGAAAUACUUAGAAAUGAAAUAUGUGUAUAAUUCAUAAAUUAUUGCACUGCUAAUAGAUUAACAGUUCGGUUUUUAGAUUAUAAUUGAUAACAGUCUUUGUUCGGUUUUUAGAUUAUAAUUGAUAACAGUCUUUGUUCGUUUUUUAGAUUAUAAUUGAUAACAGUCUUUGUUCGGUUUUUAGAUUAUAAUUGAUAACAGUCUUUGUUCGGUUUUUAGAUUAUAAUUGAUAACAGUCUU